AGGGGGAAGAGGGCAGCAAAUCUCUCUUCCAGGGAUUUGAAAAGUUCAAAAAAAAACCCCCGCAAGGUAUAUGUAUAUACCUAGGCUAAUCAGCCACGUCCAAAGUAGCCCUGAUUGUUCCAAAACCUGGUCAAAAUCGAGUCAAACCCUUGUUCUUCCUGCCUAAACUGCUGCUGCCUGCUAGCGAACGCGCGUCGGCCGCAGUUCGCCGGUGGCCGCGCCGAAGUCAAGCCGUCGCCCGUGCCGUGGCCUCCCCACACGCCGUCUCCUCACCUCGCCGUGCGACUGCCCAUGCCGCGCCCACGCUUCGCCCAUGCCGACGACUGGCGUCAGUCCGCUGGCCGCCGCGGUUCGCGUCGUCCUCGGCCGUCCUCGCGCCACUGCUCGUCGUCCUCCCGCCACUGUUCGGUCAUCCUCGCUCACUGUCCGUGGGAGCAGGGCCGGCGACUUCCUCGGCCUCAUCUCCUCUCCAAGCCAGCCGGUCUCCGCAUCCCCCUCUUGCUUCUUCUUCCUCCGGACGGGACAAGCAAAAACAGAGCCGAGCCGAACCGCAGUCACCCGCCGGCCAAAUACUCUGCAUCCACCCCAGCAAUUCCAAAUCGCCACCACGCACACCUCCUCCACCUUCCCAGCUACCACCCAGAGCCACCCAAAGCGUAGGCCGUGCGCUAACUCGCCGGAAUCGGGCGCAUUCCCGGCUGCCAUUGUCGUCAGCCACCAAGCACCUCCGCCGACCAAAAUCCUCCAAGCUCCUCCCACCAUUUUCAAAUCAACAAAGAAAAGAGCCUCUCCAGCUAUUCUCCCCUUACUAAUCUGCUGCACGUCGACUUCUUUUCCCCCAAAUCCCAAGCACCAGAACUAGCACAAGCUGCAGCGGCUGGAGCUGCAAGGCAGCUUCCCCCAAGCCGCACUGCCCGAAGCCGCUCGACGAAAUACACCAACGACGCCGAUGACCCAGAGCCGCGUGAUGCAGUCAACCUGCUGCUGGAUUCCGAUGCAUGCGAGCUCGUGGAUAUGAAGGAGACACGAAGCCUAGCAGGAGAAUC